GACAUUUCAAAAUGUCUCACUUUCAACAUUUGAUGUUAUCUAUAUUCUAUUGUAAAUAAAAUAUAAGUUUAUGAGAUUUGUAAAUUAUUCCAUUCCUUUUUUACUCACAAUUUCUACAGUGUCCCAACUUUUUUGGAAUCAGGUUUGUAUAUGUGUAGGUGUAUAUGUAUACAAAUCUGCAGAUUUCUUGUACACUAGUCAACAUUUGAAGAGUUUUGGGUAUUGGUUUUAAGACAACUAUUAUGAAAGGUUUUGAUCCUCUUAAAAUUUUGACUAGUGUAGUUUGAUGGUACAAAUCAAACUGUGAUGGCACGGGGCCUCACAACAUUGAUUUUGGAAAUUGCAUGCAUUAUGAUCCAUAUAUGUAUAUGUACAAACCCGAUUCCAAAACAGUUGGGACACUGUAGAAAUUGUGAAUUGUGAGAGAUUGUACCAUCACAGUUUGAUGGUACAAAUCAAACUGUGAUGGCACGGGGCCUCAAAACAUUGAUUUUGGAAAUUGCAUACAUUAUGAUCCGUACAUGUGCCACUGUGGUGAUUACCUGGUGCAUGAAUGGCCAAAACGUCUCCAGUUGAGUCCGCAGCUUAUGCCAGCGGAGAGUGAAGACUGUUGUGCAUUGUUCAGAGCAACUACAGGGCCACAGUGCAGCAAAUCACCAGCAACACGUUACAUGUGCCCAUUUCAUGCUAGUGAUUUGUUGCAUUGUGGUCCUGCGGUCCCUGUGAAAAAUGCACAACAGUCUCCCCUCUGACAAUAAUGCACUGCGGACAUAAAACAAGUCUGUGCACCACUUUAAAUGCAUACUAUAUAUAGUGGCACAUGAACAACCCACAAAGCCCCAUGCCAUCUCUGUUUGUCCGUUAUUAAACUUCAAUAAAUCUGCAGCUUGGGAAUAGGCAAUUUUGCCAAAAAAUUACAGCUGCAUGAAAAGUGUUCAUCCUGUAACCUGUGGACAUUGGCUUAUCCUCUAGGGGACAGUAGCUGUGAAACUUCGUUUUAUGACCAUGACUGGCAUUAUAGUUUUGAUGUUCCAUGGCAAAAAAUGCCAGCAAGUUUUAUGGGAAAGUUGCAAAAUGGCGAAAGGCCAAGUUGCUCUGAGAGAAGACAGUUGGUCCGCAUUGUUGCUUCUGAGAUCCUGGAAGUCAGCAAAUGUCCAGCAAAAAAACAUGUAUCAGAGAUAGCCCGACAAAUGGUGAUUGCAUACCCAAAGUUUCAGAGAUGAGAUUAAUUCCCAGGUUGUAGGAAGUGGAUAUGAUUCUCUCCUCAAACAACUGGUGUGUAGAAUUGACAAUUUGAAAAGAGCAAAAGCUAUUAGUACUCUAGAAUAUCAACAAACAAACGAAAAUUGUUAUAUGGUUGUAUAAAUUCUGAUCCACAACUGCUAGUUGGAGAAACAUCCGAAUUGCAGCAGGAAAAGAAAGAGAAGUUGGUAGUAAUGUUUCAAAAUAAUGAAAGUGAUGUAAAGACAAUCUAUGACUUAAUGACUUCUACAUACACCCCUCAAAGAAACAGCAUCCUAUCUGGAAAGGAAACCAAAGAUUAACUUGAUGAGUGCCAGCAGGAAUGAAAGCACACUUUAAAGAGCUCACUGGCAUUGACAUAAACAACAGCUUUGAAUAAUCUGCUUCCAGUAAGUUCAGAAGAAUACUGGACUACUUUCAAUUUCAGUGCACAGAAAGAGCAAGCAGAGCAGGGAGAAUCCUCACAAAGUAUAGAGCUGGAGGGACCAUGUUUGUGGGGCUGUGAUGUUGCUGCUAACCCAUUUCAAAAAUGACCAAGACCACUUUCUUGUGAUGGUAGAAGAUACCUCUGUUCCAAGUGAUAUAUGCUCAGAACAGCUUCCAGCAACACCAUGUAUAGUAGUGUGUGGAGAGAACCCACUGACAGCCAGUGUGUACAUGGUAGCAGUAGACCAGAUGAUUGUAAAUGACCAUCUCUUGAGUUUUACAGAAGCCCUGUAUCUGAUGUUCUCUCUUUACUAUAUAUUGAACAUCAGUUACCCUGUAGAACUGGGGCCACACUAGAAUUCUUGCAAAGGUGCAUCUUUAGGAUAAAUCCUCAUAAAGGUACCAAGGUGGAAAAGAGAGAGAAAAAGAGAGCGUACUCUGUCAACCCCAGAGUAUUGAGUCUGACAUCAAAAAUUGCUGCAUUUGAUUGGGGAGAGUAACAGAUGUGGUCUUUCAGAAGAUUGACAUUUCGCUGAAGAACAGGACAGACCGACUUUUUGUACUUCAGUGCAGCGCUUUGUUGCUUAAGUGUCACCCCCCCCUUUUUGGGGGUAGAGCUGAAAAGGGCAUGUCCAGAUUCAAAUUAAUGUAAUUCUGGAACGGUUUGGGAUAUGAACCUAAUUUUGGGCUCGUUUUUAAAAACACACUUGGAAGUUUCUUGUACAUGUGAAAGAAGUUGAAUAAAAUGUAAAAUAAAAAAGUUAUAGGUGUUUAAGUUUGUUGUAAUAAUAAAAAAAAAAAUAAUAUUUAUUUAUAUUUUAUUAAAAAAAAAAAGUAUGUGUUGAAUUUAAUUUCAUCUCAAAUGAAAAGCCUAAAAUCUAAAGAAGUUGUGUUCCAAAUUUGACAUUGAUAUCACAAAAAAUGAGGUUUCUGUGUUAUUUUUAGUUGCUAUACCAACAAUGUCCACUAGGUACUAGUCAUGCUCCUUGUAUGAAUUGUAAUGGACGACUGAUUUGAUUUUUUUUAUUCAAACAGCAAUAAAACAUUCUAGAUAGGUUGUAAAUGAUUUUUUAAUCAAACAUAGCUACUAGAGUGUUGUUACAGAAACUUCAUACAUGAUCAUGAUCAUAUUAUCACAUCAUAUUAUGAUCAUACAUGAAAUUGACAUUCAUUUAAUUUUUUACUGAAUACUUGCAACAUCAAUCAUAGAUAUACAAAUAUACAUAUUCAAUUUAUUCUCAAUUUUUUUUAUAAAAACUAGAAAAUAUGUUUUGUCUGAAU